UAGUUUAGCUUUAAAUGUUUUUUUUUUUUUUUAUUAUUAUUAUUAAGGUUGCUUUUUACUUUUAUACUUUAAGUAAAUUUUAGAGCCUGUACUUUUUUACUUUUACUUGAGUAAAGAGGUGAAAAGUCGAUACUUCAACUUUUACCAGAGUAUUUUUAAACUCCAGUAUCAAUACUUCUACUUGAGUAACGAAUGUGUUUACUUUUACUGCUACUGAUAUGCUGGAUGUGUUAAGUGUUUUGAGAAAGUGUACAUGGUAUUGAACCAAGUGUGAAAAUGAUUGGAAAAAACUGUAAUGGUCUCACUUUUUGAAGCUUGUCACCAGAGUCUGCUAUCCCUGGGUUUGAACAGGGUAGGUAUCUGCAUAACUCCUCAUACCUAUUUCGUGGCAUGGUGUCUGCCACAUAGGACACUUGUAAGGCUGGAUCAGAUGAACAGUAGUCAAGAUAAGAGGGUAAAUGAUGGAUACCCAUGAGGAUGUUUAUUCCCACAAACACCUUCACCUCCUCCACAAAUGUAUUGCACAAGGAUACAUUUGAAGAGGCAUAGAGGUUGGUGUUUUUCACCAAAUUAGCAAAAAUGUUGGUUAUCUGUAUGGUUUAGUAGUGAUAAUAUUUUAAUAUUUAUUUUAAUAUUUAUUUAUUUACAAAAUAUAUAACAAAUACUAAUUAAAUACAUUAAGAAGAUAUUACAUCUAAUAAAUACGUCUGCAGUACGGUUCAAAAUGUAUGAAUUUGAACUUUAGGGUGUAUGUAAAGCUAUGUAUUUUAAUAUUUGUAGAUGUCACUAAUACAUAUUUGAUAUCAUAUUAACAAACAAUUUAUGCCCUUUCAAAAAAAAAAAACUUGUAAUUGUAAUUUUUCUUUUGUUUUCUAACUGUAACUGUUUGUUUACAGGAUAACAGAAAAUAAAGGAAUUCUCUGUUUUUCGCAGUAAUUUGCUGCAGUGUUCUAGAAUUCUAUCUCAACCAAGGGAGUGUCCACCCUGUUUGACAGUGAGGGUAUUUCCAAGUGAUGUCACAAGGUGAAUGUACGCCAUUUGAAGCUAUAUGUCCAGCUUCCAUUGGGAUGCUGCACAAUACAGUACAUUCCUGAAUAUCAGAAGUAAUGUCCACAUCCUCAGCCUUGUCUGGUCGCUGAAGAUGGUGAAUGGAGGUAUUUGUUUAGCAUGGCACUUUGGCACUAUUUACUGUCAUGUGGAGUUGAAAGUAAUUGUACAUGUGGUGCUUUAUGUGCUUUAUGUUCUUCUUUGGGAAUUUGGGAAUUUCCCUCGGGAUUAAUAAAGUAUCCAUCCAUCUAUCUAUCUAUCUAUCUAUCUUCCCUAAAAGCUGAGGUUGUUACGCCUGAUCACACAUGCAGCAAGACGGCAGACACAGGUGAGGGCACGACCUUGUACAGAGAAGAAAGAGUAUACAGUAUGUAUAUACAGUAGAUGCUGAAUGUUUUUUUUCUUUGUGUGUGUGCCUUUUCCAAUUUCAGGCAUUCCCACUACAUCCACAAGUUUAGAGGAGGAGUUGUAUUUUCUAUAAUUUUUUAGUCUUGAUCUUAAUGUAUUAGUUGUUUCUGCCUUUGAUCUGUUAAUUAUUGAAGUGCUUCACUGUCUCUCUCUCUCUCUCUAUACUAGCUUUGGAGGACAAGAUUCCAGUAAAAUUAGCUGCUAAGGGAUUGCUGCCGACCACAGACAGUGUUCCACUGAUAUAAGCGAUGGAGAGUUUUGCACGUCUGACGGUAAUCCGCUACAACGUUGCCACUGUAAGUAGUUUCUAUUUCACCUCGCUGAGGAAUUGCAUUUACGACUGCUAUUUCGCGUUCUGAAAUUCUUCUGAAGUUCAGAACAA